GUAGUUAGCCGUGGCUUGUUUUCAGGGUACCGUCUUCUACUCUUCCCCUGUCAAAGAAGUUUACAACCCGAAAGCCUUCUUCCUUCACGCGGCGUUGCUGGGUCAGACUUGCGUCCAUUGCCCAAUAUUCCCCACUGCUGCCUCCCGCAGGAGUCUGGACCGUAUCUCAGUUCCAGUGUGGCCGAUCAGCCUCUCAGCUCGGCUACCCAUCGUCGACUUGGUGGGCUGUUACUCCGCCAACUAUCUAAUGGGACGCGAACCCCUCUUAUACCGGAUUGCUCCUUUGACCUCAUCCCGAUGCCGGGUCGUGGUCUUAUGCGGUAUUAGCAACCGUUUCCGGUUGUUAUCCCCCUGUACAAGGCAGGUUGUUCACGCGUUACUCACCCGUUCGCCACUAAGUUAUCAACCGAAAUCAAUAACUCCGUUCGACUUGCAUGUGUUAGGCACGCCGCCAGCGUUCGUCCUGAGCCAGAAUCAAACUCUGA
rnacentral:rRNA from 1 species